rnacentral:lncRNA from 1 species
GAAAAAUAUAAUAAAAGAAGGAAAAAAUUAGAUAUAUUUAUUUAUUGAUUGCACAUUGAAAGGAACCAAACUUAAAAUACUGAUCUAAAAAAUAUAUCUCGAUACUUAAAAAAAAAAACACAGAGAUUCUAAAGAGGCAAUGAUAAGAGGACCCACAGCUCUUCUUUCUUGAAUAUACUUCACAAGUAAGUGCCCUUAUGGGAGAAACUACUGUGUGAGUGAGAUACAUCAAAAUAAGAUAAAAACUUUUUUUUUUUUUUUUUUUCGCAGAAAUAGUCUCAGAGGUAAAACAGCUGAGGUAUGUCACCAGCUAAGAGAAGAAAAAUCAUGCCUGGUAAAGCAGCCAAAGUCCACUUCUUCAACCUGGCCUUAUAGCUCAGUAACGUUUGUUCUUGGUCAUCAGAGUCACACAUCCAAUUCUGGCAUUGGAAAAACAAAUCAAACCUCAGUCAUACUCUGGGUGAGUCAGUCUCAUUAUUUUCACAUUUUUAGGUCAACAGCAUAAAUUAUGUAAAGUGACAGUUUAAACAGUGAGCACGUCUGUGUGUCCAAUUUGUUACCAAUAUUAGCCUUGCAAUCUAUGGACAAGGAGACCUCAACUUAAAUUCAAAUUCAUGGAUGCAGUUGCUAAAUGGAAGGAGAUAACCUAUGAGAUUUACAGAAUCUAUCAUUUCGGCAUCCCCUUCCCUAUUUUUAAGAUUACUCGUGUAUAUAAGUUUGUAGGCUUUAGCACAUUUUUAGUUUACCAUAAAUUGCUCUAAAUUCUAAAAACUAUAUUGUUCACAUUGGAAAGAGAAAUGUUUCUUAAAUUGAGUAGAUGUGUCAAGCAAUGGGAUCCAGAGCAUUUGCAAAUACCCACAAGAGAAGUUAACGGGGAGAAAAAACACAAUUUUUAGAUUGUUAUUAUUGUUUGAGCUAAACACUAAAUGAUGGUUUCAUAAAUCCUGGUUAUUCAAUAAUCCUAGUUAUUCCUGGCUUUUAUCAGCAAACUGGUUAAUGUAAGUGGAACAGACAAAAGUCUUGAUGUGUCUAUAGAUCUGGAAUCCUGAGUAAGGACUACAUAUUAGUGCAAUCAGAACAUGGGCACUUACCUGGGUCACUUAGGUGGUUUUAACUGGGUUACUCAGACAUUGGGUGACAAUAUUCAUUUAGUUGCUUUUAAUCUCUUCCUAGUUAAGAGGCAUUCCUUAGAUUGAUAGUAUUGGCAUCUCCCAAGAGCCAAUAAGAAAUGCAGACUCUCAACCUCCAUUCCAGAAUCAGAAUCUGUGUUUUAAAAAGAUCACUAGGUGAUUCCUAUGUACAUUAAUAUUUGAGAAGCAAUGCUUCUGGUAGAUAGGGAGUUCGAUCUGGGAUCGGAUAUGCAGCUAGCUGGGCCUUUCUGAAAAAUUGCCAACCAACAAUUUUUAUUGUUUUUCCUCUUUCUUUCACAGAAAGGAGAGAACCAUAGUACUUUUGCAAAAGACUA